rnacentral:rRNA from 1 species
CAAAAACAUGUCCUUUAGGAUUUAAUUUAAGGUCUGACCUGCCCACUGAAUAAGUUUAAAUGGCCGCAGUAUUUUAACUGUGCAAAGGUAGCAUAAUCAUUAGUCUUUUAAUUGAAGGCUUGUAUGAAUGGUUGGACGAAAUAUUGACUGUUUCAUAAAAAUUUAUUUAGAAUUUUAUUUUUUAGUUAAAAAGCUAAAAUAUAUUUAAAAGACGAGAAGACCCUAUAGAUCUUUAUAUUUUGCAGUUUACAAUUAUUUAGAUUAUUUAAGUUGUUAAUAUGUAAUUUAUUUUGUUGGGGUGACAUUAAAAUUUGAUUAACUUUUAAUUAAUAAUUACAUUAAUUUAUGAAUAUUUGAUCCAUUAGUAAUGAUUAUAAAAUUAAGUUACCUUAGGGAUAACAGCGUAAUUUUUUUGAAGAGUUCAUAUCGAUAAAAAAGAUUGCGACCUCGAUGUUGGAUUAAGAUAUAAUUUUGGGUGCAGCAAUUCAAAUAUUUAAGUCUGUUCGACUUUUAAUUUCUUACAUGAUCU